rnacentral:rRNA from 1 species
AUUGAACGCUGGCGGCAGGCUUAACACAUGCAAGUCGAGCGAGCGGCGGACGGGUGAGUAAUGUCUGGGAAUCUGCCUGAUGGAGGGGGAUAACUACUGGAAACGGUAGCUAAUACCGCAUACCAUCAGAUGUGCCCAGAGGGGAUUAGCUAGUAGGUGGGGUAAAGGCUCACCUAGGCGACGAUCCCUAGCUGGUCUGAGAGGAUGACCAGCCACACUGGAACUGAGACACGGUCCAGACUCCUACGGGAGGCAGCAGUGGGGAAUAUGGCACAAUGGGCGCAAGCCUGAUGCAGCCAUGCCGCGUGUGUGAAGAAGGCCGUAGGGUUGUAAAGCACUUUCAGCGGGGAGGCGUUACCCGCAGAAGAAGCACCGGCUAACUCCGUGCCAGCCGCCGCGGUAAUUC